CUCGUAGGCGGUUCAGUCAGUCGGGUGUGAAAACUUGAGGCUUAACCUCAAGAGGUCACUCGAUACUACUGUGACUAGAGUGCGGUAGGGGAGCGGGGAAUUCCUGGUGUAGCGGUGAAAUGCGCAGAUAUCAGGAGGAACACCAGUGGCGAAGGCGCCGCUCUGGACCGUAACUGACGCUGAGGAGCGAAAGCAUGGGUAGCAAACA
rnacentral:rRNA from 1 species